GCGAAACCUUUACACUGCACGAGAGUGCGAUAGGGGGACACGAGUGCGAGGGCAUAGAGCCCUCGCUUUUCUGUACCGUAAGGUGGUACAGGAAUAAGGGCUGGGCAAGACCGGUGCCAGCCGCCGCGGUAACACCGGCAGCCAAGUGAUGGCCGAUAUUAUUGGGCUAAAGCGUCCGUAGCUGGCCGGAUUGGUCCGUCGGGAAAUCUGCUCGCUCAACGAGCAGGCGUCCGGCGGAUACCAUCCGGCUUGGGACCGGGAGAUCUGAGGGGUACGUCCGGGGUAGGAGUGAAAUCCUGUAAUCCUGGACGGACCACCGAUGGCGAAAGCACCUCAGAAAAGCGGAUCCGACAGUGAGGGACGAAAGCUAGGGUCUCGAACCGGAUUAGAUACCCGGGUAGUCCUAGCUGUAAACGAUGCUCGCUAGGUGUGGCGCAGGCUACGAGCCUGCGCUGUGCCGUAGGGAAGCCGUGAAGCGAGCCGCCUGGGAAGUACGUCUGCAAGGAUGAAACUUAAAGGAAUUGGCGGGGGAGCACCACAACCGGAGGAGCCUGCGGUUUAAUUGGACUCAACGCCGGACAUCUCACCAGCACCGACUGUAGUUAUGACGGUCAGGUUGAUGACCUUACCCGAGCUUCAGAGAGGAGGUGCAUGGCCGCCGUCAGCUCGUACCGUGAGGCAUCCUGUUAAGUCAGGUAACGAGCGAGAUCCACACCUCUAGUUGCCAGCAGCAUCUCGCGAUGGCUGGGUACACUAGGGGGACUGCCGUGGUUAACACGGAGGAAGGAAUGGGCAACGGUAGGUCAGCAUGCCCCGAAUGUGCUGGGCAACACGCGGGCUACAAUGGCCAAGACAACGGGUUCCAACGCCGAGAGGCGGAGGUAAUCUCUUAAACUUGGUCGUAGUUCGGAUUGUGGGCUGAAACUCGCCCACAUGAAGCUGGAUUCGGUAGUAAUCGCGUGUCAGAAGCGCGCGGUGAAUACGUCCCUGCUCCUUGCACACACCGCCCGUCAAAGCACCCGAGUGGGGUCCGGAUGAGGCCGCCGCAAGGCGGUCGAUCCG
rnacentral:rRNA from 1 species